rnacentral:lncRNA from 1 species
GGUGGUAGUUGGGGAAGAUGGCAAUGUUUGUUUGAUGCGGUCUGGAUUAACAGUGGUCUGAGGUUGUAGGAUGCUGACAGGCUCUGUCUUGGCCACAUUUUGAGGCAUUUCUCGAAUCUUCUCUGCAAUGAAGCCAUGAACUGCAUUUAGUGCUUCAACUGUUCCCUGGAUCAGACACACGCGCUCCGUAGUACCUGGGUAAAAAUCUUUGGAUUUAGACAGCUUGAUGGUGGCCCCGGUCUCUUUCUGCAACUGAACAAUUG